rnacentral:misc_RNA from 1 species
GUAGGUGAACCUGCGGAAGGAUCAUUAUAGUAUAUCUAUAUCUAGGAUGCAGGGUGCUUUAGGGUACCCUCCCCGCCAAACCUUGCAAAUUUGAACUUAAUAGUUACCUUGGUAGGCUUAACUGCCUGUGGAUAAAUCUAAAUUCUUUAAUAAACUGGCUGUAAUUAAUGUAACUGUCUGAAAUAAUGUUAAUAUUAAAACUUUCAACAACGGAUCUCUUGGUUCUG